CCUGGCGCUUCCGCGCGACUCCGCGUGAGGCCGCUGCUCGAUGGGAUGCCUCGAUCAGAACAGAACGGGAUCCCCCUCGAUCGCAUCCAGAGGAAAUUGGCAGAUGAGAGGGUGCAUCCAGACCAGAUCAAAAUUGAUCGCAUCGCGUCCAGAGGAGGCGGCGGGCGACACGACGACAGGCAGGCCAACGAGCCUUCCGAGUUCCGAUUAACUUCGUCUGAACUCUGAUGAAGAUAUUCCUCUCGCCAUCGCCAUAACAGAGAUGGUUACUUCGUUGGAGAUGAGUUCUUGCCUCCUUGAUUAAAGAUCAUAGUAUAGCAGUUCAUCUAGACAGGACACAAGACUAGUAAAACAGAUUUGAGUCAUCAUGGGGAGAAGAUUGAUUACGAGGAUAUCAUUGAAGAUUUCACUUCAAAGAAUACUAAAAGAAUAAUGUUGUUCAAAUAAAUAUUAUACAACCAGGAGUUGAAUAGAAAAUCAAUACCAAACGAAGUUCAAACACAAUAAAACUUUACGACGAUUUUUUAUGGAUCAGAAGGGACCCUAGAAGGUUUGAGAGGAGGCCAGAAGAGCUAUGAGAGAGCGACGAGCUCAUGGGGCGUGCAACUCCGUUCGACCUAAUUCCAAGCCUAUAAAUUCAUAAAUAUUCCCAAGCUAACAGAGAGCCACCCGAAGCACUUUCUCCGCCGCCGCAAGCUUCUAUUCUUCGCGAUCCCAUCUGGAGGCAUUUUUUGAUACUCUGUCGGAGGCGAAAACGAUCACGAAGGGCUUCUACAUCAUCUGUGUUGCCUUCCGAUGGUGUGUGAGUAGUUCACCACAGACCUACGGGUCCAUAGCUAGUAGCUAGAUGGAUUCUUUUCUCUCUUUGAUCUUCAAUACAAUGUUCUCCCCGAUCUUCUUGGAGUUCUAUCCGAUGUAAUCUUUUUUUGUGGUGUGUUUGUUGGGUUGUUGGUUACUAUGGUGAAAUCUAUAACAUAGGACUGAGUAGAUUGUCGCUUUAGAAGCAACAAUGGAGAGUGAUCAAUCAAACUUUCAUUUA